GACGCAGUGGUGCAGUGGUUUAGCGUACGUGACUUGGGAUCAAAAGGUUCCAAGUUUGAGUCCUUGCAAUGGCU